rnacentral:lncRNA from 1 species
UUUCAAGCAUCAUUCUAGAAAUAUUUAAGGGAAAAUAUAUGGAAAGCUUAUUUAUGUUAGCAUCUUUACUGAAAGGUCCUGUUCUUCUCUCAGCUCUGGCGUUGAGGCACUUCCAUUCGGGUAACGACGAGGCCAUCUGUGUGCUCCCUGAAAAGCUGCCACAAGUGCUCCAGCAGCUGUGUCCAUGCCGGAGCGAGAGCUGCUCAGACACAUUGCCAGUCCCAUAUAACAUGCCCAACGUCUGCUAA